rnacentral:rRNA from 1 species
UACGUAGGCAGCGAGCGUUGUUCGGAAUUACUGGGCGUAAAGAGUGUGUAGGCGGUGUUCUAAGUUCGGUGUGAAAUCUCCCGGCUCAACUGGGAGGGUGCGCCGAAGACUGGAAGGCUUGAGUAUGGGAGAGGUAAGCGGAAUUCCUGGUGUAGCGGUGAAAUGCGUAGAUAUCAGGAGGAACACCUGCGGUGUAGACGGCUUACUGGACCAUAACUGACGCUGAGGCACGAAAGCGUGGGUAGCAAACAGG